rnacentral:rRNA from 1 species
UACGAAGGGGGCUAGCGUUGCUCGGAAUUACUGGGCGUAAAGCGCACGUAGGCGGUCUUUUAAGUCGGGGGUGAAAUCCUGGAGCUCAACUCCAGAACUGCCUUCGAUACUGGAAGACUCGAGUCCGGGAGAGGUGAGUGGAACUGCGAGUGUAGAGGUGAAAUUCGUAGAUAUUCGCAAGAACACCAGUGGCGAAGGCGACACGCUGGGCCGUACCUGACACUGAUGCGCGACAGCAUGGGGAGCAAACAGG